UAUUCCGACUGAUCUAUAUUUCUAUCAGUUUGCCGCUGAAUUUGAAACAGUGAACAAUAAAAAAUAUCUAGAACGAGAAUCGUGCAUAAUUUCAAUUUACAUUUUUGUGUUUGAAAAGUGAUUGAAAGUAAAUCAAAUCAGUUUAUUCUGUUAAUAAAGAGUCUGAUUCAUUUGUGUUAAAGAUGAAAUCGUUCACGAUUGUUUGCUUAGUCGUUGUAUUGUUCGUUGCAUUUGUAACGGCUAAAGUCAACCUUUCAUUGGACAACAUCGAUGAGGACUCAGAAGCAGUUAAUCUUUGGAGUGGAUAUAAAACGAAAUACGGCAAAAGCUACAGUGGAAAUGAAGACAGAAGACGGUAUAUAAUUUUCGCAGAAACUCUUGCAACAAUCAGAGAUCAUAAUAGACAACAUGCCAGAGGCGAAGUAACGUACAAACGAGGACUCAACCAAUUAAGUGAUUUAACGCCCGAUGAGAGAAAACAAAGAACUGGAUUUGGAUCUGCUGCUCCUACUACUCCUCCUACUCCUCAGAAAUAAACCAGAUGACGAAGGAAAUUGACAACAUUUUCUUCUGAUAAUUUUCAAAGCAAUCAAUGUCCAGAAUUGCGAUGAUAUCCGAAUUUCAUUCAAAUCAAAAUAUUCUCCAAUAAAAUGGAAUAGCGCACACUUAACGAUUAUUGUUUUUAUCUCUUUUUCGUAUUGAUUGAUACAACCAAAUGAGAGGUAAACCUUAUUUUCUCAUCUGUAACGCUGUCGAGUUAUUCUUCUAAAGAAAAUUAUUCAAGACAUGUGUAAACAACUAAAAGCGCUAAACAAAAGUUAUAUAAGUUGAAAUUUCCAACAAUUUCAGGAUUUGUCAAAGAUUGAAUAUUACGGAUUUUCUGAAGUAAAAUUUCAAGUAAAUAAAAAUAAAUCGAAUUGAAGAUAAGGAAAUGCAAGAUUCUCCAUGUCGUACAAGGCAUUGAUGCAACAACCAAAAAGGUACUAACAGAACAGUCGAUAAAGCCUAAAUAUGGAAAACUUGCCCUGCUUGAUUUUGACUGAUAUUGGUAUUAUUUUUAUGUUCAAUCGUUAUUCUUCUCUGAACAAUGAUCGAAUCACUCUAAUAGUUUGUGUAUUGGACAGAAAAAAUCAUAUAUCCGUUCGAUUUGAAUUAUCUUAGUUUGUUUUAUUGUCAUUGACUGUUCCAUCAUUUUGAGAACAUCAAAAACUUCCAUAUAUAUUGUAUAAGUCUGUAAAUUGUAUUAAAUUUACGAAAGAUAAAAAUAAAAAAGGAAGGUAAAACAUUCUCGGAAUAGAACA